UACAGAGGUCUCAAGCGUUGUUCGGAUUCAUUGGGCGUAAAGGGUGCGUAGGCGGCGCGGUAAGUCGGAUGUGAAAUCUCGGAGCUUAACUCCGAAACUGCAUUCGAUACUGCCGUGCUUGAGGACUGGAGAGGAGACUGGAAUUUACGGUGUAGCGGUGAAAUGCGUAGAUAUCGUAAGGAAGACCAGUGGCGAAGGCGGGUCUCUGGACAGUUCCUGACGCUGAGGCACGAAGGCCAGGGGGAGCAAAACGGGG
rnacentral:rRNA from 1 species